rnacentral:rRNA from 1 species
GGCGAGUGGCGAACGGGUGAGUAAUACAUCGGAACGUGUCCUGGAGUGGGGGAUAGCCCGGCGAAAGCCGGAUUAAUACCGCAUACGCUCUGUGGAGGAAAGCGGGGGAUCUUCGGACCUCGCGCUCAAGGGGCGGCCGAUGGCAGAUUAGCUAGUUGGUGGGGUAAAGGCCUACCAAGGCGACGAUCUGUAGCUGGUCUGAGAGGACGACCAGCCACACUGGGACUGAGACACGGCCCAGACUCCUACGGGAGGCAGCAGUGGGGAAUUUUGGACAAUGGGGGCAACCCUGAUCCAGCAAUGCCGCGUGUGUGAAGAAGGCCUUCGGGUUGUAAAGCACUUUUGUCCGGAAAGAAAACCUCUGGGUUAAUACCCUGGGGGGAUGACGGUACCGGAAGAAUAAGCACCGGCUAACUACGUGCCAGCAGCCGCGGUAAUACGUAGGGUGCGAGCGUUAAUCGGAAUUACUGGGCGUAAAGCGUGCGCAGGCGGUUCGCUAAGACCGAUGUGAAAUCCCCGGGCUUAACCUGGGAACUGCAUUGGUGACUGGCGGGCUAGAGUAUGGCAGAGGGGGGUAGAAUUCCACGUGUAGCAGUGAAAUGCGUAGAGAUGUGGAGGAAUACCGAUGGCGAAGGCAGCCCCUGGGCCAAUACUGACGCUCAUGCA